rnacentral:rRNA from 1 species
CCUACGGGAGGCUGCAGUGGGGAAUAUUGCACAAUGGGGGAAACCCUGAUGCAGCGACGCCGCGUGAGUGAAGAAGUAUCUCGGUAUGUAAAGCUCUAUCAGCAGGGAAGUAAAUGACGGUACCUGAUUAAGAAGCCCCGGCUAACUACGUGCCAGCAGCCGCGGUAAUGCGAAGGGGGCAAGCGUUAUCCGGAUUUACUGGGGUUAAAGGGAGCGUAGACGGCAGCACAAGUCAGGAGUGAAAUGCCGGGGCUUAACCCCGGAACUGCUUUGGAAACUGUGCAGCUUGAGUGCAGGAGAGGUAAGUGGAAUUCGUGGUGUAGCGGUGAAAUGCGUAGAUAUUAGGAGGAACUCCAGUGGCGAAGGCAGCUUACUGGACUGUAACUGACGUUGAGGCUCGAAAGCGUGGGUAGCAAACAGGAUUAGAUACCCUUGUAGUC